rnacentral:rRNA from 1 species
GAUGAACGCUGGCGGCGUGCCUAAUACAUGCCAGUCGAACGAACAGACGAGGAGCUUGCUCCUCUGACGUUAGCGGCGGGCGGGAGAGUAACACGUGGAACACCUACCUAUAAGACUGAGAUAAUCACGAGAAACCGGAUCUUAUAGCGGAUAAUAUCUUGAACCACGGUGUUCGAUGGUGAAAUACGGCUUUUCUGGCACUUCUAGCUGGUUCUGCGCCGCAUUAGCUGGUUGUUAAGGUAAAGGCCUAUCAAGGCAACGAUGCGUAGCCGACCUGAGAGGGUGAUAGGCCACACUGGAACUGAGACAGGGUCCAGACGCCUACGGGAGGCAGCAGUAGGGAAUCUGCCGCAAUGGGCGAAAGCUUGACGGAGCAACGCCGAGUGAGUGAUGAAGGUCUUCGGAUCGUAAAACUCUGCUAUUAGGGAAGAACAAAUGUGUACGUAACUAUGCACGUCUUGACGGUAACUAGUCAGAAAGCAACGGCUAACUACGUG